CGACACCUUCUGUUUGUCCCAGGCCCUCUCCGCCAACUCAGACCUGGUACCAUCCCACCGCUGGAACAAGACCAAGUCCCUGUACAGGCUCCUCAAAGGGAUUCCCGAAGGCUCCUUUUCCAAUCCUCAGGCCGCGUCGCAAAUUGUUCCGUCGCUGGAGGGCAGGACCUACCUGGAUGUGACGGAGCUGAACUGCACAGCCGACCACAAUAACCUGACAUUCCCAGUGGUGAGUACAUCAUCACCUCCCACCACCCAGGCUGUCCCCAUCACGGUGGAAUACAACAUUGUGGAUGGGCUCACCCAUACCUUCAGCGAUGCCGUGAAUGUUUCCGUGCCGGGAGGAAGUGUCCUGAUCCGGGUUCUGGAGAAGGCCCGGGAUCUGCAUCCCGAUCGAUUCAGCUUUACUGUCACAAAGACACUGUGGGGACCAUCUCUGACCACCGUUCGGACCCUAACAGCUUCCAGUCAAAACAGAACCUACUGGCAGCUCCUGAGUGGAUCAGAACCACUGGAUCAAGGUAUCGGCGAUUACAAGCCCAAAGACGGCGAGCAUAUCUUUGCAAACUACAGCCGCUACUGAUCAGGACCUGGGUGGCAUUUGAGAAAUCGAGAACGAUGGAGCAAUCAGAAGGAAUCUGCCCCUUUCCCCCACGACGUCCUCCUGCGCUAUCCCAGAUUACCUCCAAAUUAUUCGGAAAUCACAGCUGCCCACCUUUCUCCUCACACAGAGCUCGUUCUGGGUUGAACUUCACCAUCUCUCACACAAACUGAAAAACACUGUUUUUCUCGACUCUCCUAUGAUUAACUCCGAACCCACACGGUUCUUCACUUGUGGCCUUGGUGUCCCCUUGUGUCUACCCUCUCGAUUCUUCAGCUCAUCCAAACCCCUGUUACCCUCUUUCUGAAUGUGCACCACUCCCCAUUCACCGAUCAACCUCUGCAGCCGGCACACCUUCACAGAAUUUCCGGUCCAAGAAAAUAUUCACUGCAAGGUUUCCCUCUCUGUCUGCAAGCCCCUCUGUGGUCUAUCCUUAUAACUCCCACCAACACCUACACCCCUCUUAUUCCUGUAACCUGCUCCAGCCCCUACACCACUCCCUAUCUCUGUAACCUCCUCCAGCCCCUACACUCCUCCUAUCCCUGUAACCUCCUCCAGCCCCUACACCCCUCCCUAUCUCUGUA